AUUCAGCGGCGGACGGGUGAGUAAUGCCUAGGAAUCUGCCUGGUAGUGGGGGACAACGUUUCGAAAGGAACGCUAAUACCGCAUACGUCCUACGGGAGAAAGCAGGGGACCUUCGGGCCUUGCGCUAUCAGAUGAGCCUAGGUCGGAUUAGCUAGUUGGUGAGGUAAUGGCUCACCAAGGCGACGAUCCGUAACUGGUCUGAGAGGAUGAUCAGUCACACUGGAACUGAGACACGGUCCAGACUCCUACGGGAGGCAGCAGUGGGGAAUAUUGGACAAUGGGCGAAAGCCUGAUCCAGCCAUGCCGCGUGUGUGAAGAAGGUCUUCGGAUUGUAAAGCACUUUAAGUUGGGAGGAAGGGUUGUAGAUUAAUACUCUGCAAUUUUGACGUUACCGACAGAAUAAGCACCGGCUAACUCUGUGCCAGCAGCCGCGGUAAUACAGAGGGUGCAAGCGUUAAUCGGAAUUACUGGGCGUAAAGCGCGCGUAGGUGGUUUGUUAAGUUGGAUGUGAAAUCCCCGGGCUCAACCUGGGAACUGCAUCCAAAACUGGCAAGCUAGAGUAUGGUAGAGGGUGGUGGAAUUUCCUGUGUAGCGGUGAAAUGCGUAGAU
rnacentral:rRNA from 1 species